rnacentral:lncRNA from 1 species
ACCAGGUUUGAAAUGGAUGCAGAGAGCAACUCUGCGAUCCCCAUGACCGCAACUAUAGCAGUAAAUUUUGGAGCAUCGAAGCCAGAAUUGAUGCGGAACUAAAAGUUCUUUCGCUUGGACUUGAUGGAAGAAAGCAAACAGAACCCAAGGAGAUGGAUGUAAGAAAUUUGAACCGUAUAGUCCCGCUCUACCAAUCUGCGGUUAUUAUUAAUGGAAG